rnacentral:rRNA from 1 species
GACGAACGCUGGCGGCGUGCUUAACACAUGCAAGUCGAACGGAAAGGCCCUGCUUUUGUGGGGUGCUCGAGUGGCGAACGGGUGAGUAACACGUGGGUAACCUGCCCUUGACUUUGGGAUAACUUCAGGAAACUGGGGCUACUACCGGAUAGGAGCUCCUGCUGCAUGGUGGGGGUUGGAACGUUUCGGCGGUUGGGGAUGGACUCGCGGCUUAUCAGCUUGUUGGUGGGGUAGUGGCUUACCAAGGCUUUGACGGGUAGCCGGCCUGAGAGGGUGACCGGCGACAUUGGGACUGAGAUACGGCCCAGACUCCUACGGGAGGCAGCAGUGGGGAAUAUUGCACAAUGGGCGGAAGCCUGAGGCAGCAACGCCGCGUGCGGGAUGACGGCCUUCGGGUUGUAAACCGCUUUCGCCUGUGACGAAGCGUGAGUGACGGUAAUGGGUAAAGAAGCACCGGCUAACUACGUG